UACGUAGGGUGCGAGCGUUGUCCGGAAUUAUUGGGCGUAAAGAGCUUGUAGGUGGUUUGUCGCGUCUGCUGUGAAAAUCCGAGGCUCAACCUCGGACUUGCAGUGGGUACGGGCGAGACUAGAGUGUGGUAGGGGAGACUGGAAUUCCUGGUGUAGCGGUGGAAUGCGCAGAUAUCAGGGAGGGAACACCCGGUGGCGGAAGGCGGGUCUCUGGGCCGAUACUGACGCUGGAGGAGCGAAAGCGUGGGGAGCGAACAGG
rnacentral:rRNA from 1 species